CUGCAACCUAUACCACAGCUCAUGGAAACACCAGAUCCUUAACACACUACACUGAGUGGGGGAUCAAACCCACAUCCUCAUGGAUACCAGUGGGGUUUGUUAACACUGAGCCACAACAGGAACUCCCUAUGUCUUCUAUUUUUAAUCUUAUUAUAGUUUUAAGCAUUUCCCUACUACUGUGUGCCAUGCACUGCAGGGAGUGCUUUAUGUUGGAUGAUGGAUACGGAAACUGAGGUGGCACUGGCAGGUGCCAAAGCUGGGACGAGAAUCUAAGAUUUGACAUCAGAAUAGACCGCCUCUUUCACUGAGCACAAGAUCCGGCACAGGCAUUUUUGGAAUGCUUCUAGAUGGUCAGCACCGAGCUUGAAUACAGGAGAUGCUCAAGGAUAUUUCCUCUCUGAGUGAUUCUUACUGUUCAGAAAAGCUUUUGUCUUAGGACAAAAGGACUCGCCCUCAUCCAGUUGGAGAACCAAGUUCUGCCAAAGCUUUGGGAAAUCCUGCCACAUUAAACCCGGGCGUUACCAAGCAGCACAGGAAAAGCUUAUCACAGAUUUCCUGGCCAGGGUGUGACCCAUUGGUCGAAAGCCUUGAUAAUUCUGUUUUCUACACACAAGGGGCAGAAAAGUUUAUGAUUGGUCCUGAGAACCUAUUCUCGUGGGUGAUUCCUCUAACUCCCCGAAUUCCAGCUUGGGUCUUCAUAACACAGUAGAGUCCGGUAGCACCACAGGCAGCAAAGGGCAACAGAGAUUCCUGAACCAGGGAGGUUUGAACUAUGACACCUGGGCUCAAGUCUCAGCCCCAACCCGUGUUACUAUCUGCAUGACCUUCAGCAAAUCAUCAAACCGCUCUGACCAUCUGUGCUAGUAUUAGUCAAGUAGGGAGGCAUUUGUAAUUAAGUGACAUAAACUCACAUACCCCAGAGGUUUCUAAUUAGAAUCAGUGAAAAUACCGUGGGUGAAAACAUACAUGAAUAUAAACAACAACCAUGAUAACUAACGUCUUUUUUUUUUUUUUUUUUUUUUUUUUUUUUUUUUUUUUUUAGGCACAUGGAGGUUCCCAAGCUAGGGGUCGAAUCAGAGAUGCAGCUGCUGGCCUAUAUACCACAGCCACAGCAAUGCCGGAUCCUUAACCCACUGAGCGAAGUCAGGGAUUAAACCUUCAUCCUCGUGGAUACCAGUCAGAUUCGUUUCCGCUGAGCCAUGAUGGGAACUCCAUAACCAACAUGUCUUGAUCACUUCUUAUGUGCCGGGAAGCCCAAUUAAGUGGACGCUAAUAUCUCCAUCGCUUGUGAGGAGGAAGAAGGCGAGGCUUAGAGAGAGUACUGGCCGAAGUUGUAUUUGAAUCCAGGUUGGUCUAACUCAUGUAUGUUCAAUAGAGUUGAAAAUUGGUUUUUGGAGGCAAAGAACAUCUCACUUUUCAAUGUAUUCAGCACAGAUAUACAUACAGCACAUAAAGAAAUAUACUGUGUCUCUCUGGUAUUAAAAUUCCAUGGGGAAGGCAAUUAGGAAAAACACUCUCUAAAAAGUCUCCUUGGGAGGCAAUAAUGAAGAAAAAUUUGAGAAACACUUGUCUUAACUUCUCUAACAUCACGCCAUUUCCCAUAAUUAAUACAGAUUAGUACUACCAGGCCAUUAGACUCCUCCAAUGGAAGAUCAGAUACUGUUCAAACAUGGUCCCAGAGGAGGCGGUGGCCACUUCAGCUGCCACUGUGGCUCGUCUAGCUUAGAGG
ensembl:lncRNA